rnacentral:sRNA from 1 species
AAUUAAUUAAAUUUAAUUAAUUAAAUUAGUAUUUGACUUUUUAAUCCUUAAAGAGAUAAAUUAAUCUACUCUUUAAAAUUUUAUUUCUAAUGGCAUACCUAUGUAAUUACUUACAAAAAUUAAGGUUACAUUUAAAAUGUACUUCCCAAAUAAUAUAGUAGGAUAUACAAAAUUUAAGCAAACAAUA